AUUUCCAGGGCAUAAAAUACAUAGAAAUGUAGUAACAUUGUGGACAAGGAUUUUUGCAGAAAAUUAAGCUGACCUAUCAGACACAGCUGAUUACACGCUUUCUUGAAGGCAGCUCUACUACAGUCUAAACAUGUAUCUAAACAAUUACUGUGUAGUAACUUCUCGUAAUAAAUAGACAAAGCAGCCUCACAUUAAUUGGUCAGGAAAAUGCCAGAAGCUUAUAACUGCUUUUCCUAAGUGAUUUUUGCUCAUUUAAUUUAAGCACAUAAAAGUCAAUCCAGUGUUCUAGCAGCAGCUAGACCACUAAAGGAAGGUGAAAGCGCUUACACAGAAUUUUGCCAUGAUGUAUCCUCCUACAAGGAGCUUGAUAGGAAUUUGUGCUCUUUGAUAACUUCCUAAUGCAACUUACAGAAGGCUUUUAGAUGAGUAAAUUUGAUUCCUAUGAGUUUCUUUACAGUAACUGCCAUUUAAUUAAGGUUGCCCAAUUAUAGGCUAAAUCAAAUCCUAUUCGGCCUGACAUGUUUUUUGUGGGUGAAUGUUUCGCUUCCACUUCCAUUAGAUCACAGAGGGAAGUGUGAUAUUUGCUAAACCUGUGCCCAAGCAGAAUAAACACCACAGGGACCACAGUUUCCCCACUUUUGCACAAUUUUCCCCACACUUCAGAAGCCCAUGCAGUUAGCUGUUGAGAUCUCCUGGUCACUCCAGGAACAGAGAUGGGAAGUUGACGAAGAAAGAAAAUGGGAAUUUGGAUUCUUAUGGACAGAAAGGUAAAAAUUUGCUUGUUAAUAGUUUCCACAAAAUGGUUUCUGAAGUAUAAGGAUGAUGGCAUUGAUAAGUAUAUACUAUAUAUAUGAUAAGUAUAAUAUAUAGUUAGCAUUGCCAUCUUAUGGCAUCUUAUAUGUAAGUAUAAAUAGCAGACUGGGCUCAAGACUGAUGUAGCAUAAGUGAAUAUUAUACACUAGCUGAGACAACCAGCAAUGACCUUAAAGCAACCCUCAGAGGUGAUAAACAGUAAAAGAGGUCAUGUGGAAAUGGGAACACAAGUAAACUACCUCUACCUUCCGCAUGUAUCUGGAACAAACUUGCUUGUGGGAAACUGCUCUGCAGCUGUAGCCAAGUAUCCUUAUUUUCUUGCUUAUCCUGAUACGUGAUUCUUUACUGUCUCCUGCUGUUUCAUAUGGCCAAAGAACUAAGGGGUGGUGUGGACAGUUUACCAGAGGGCUGCCGUUGGAAAUGUGAGUGCCUCUCCAUUAAACUGAUGAAGAUUAACUUGCCUCUGCCAUACUUUCUUUGCAGCAGUGCUGGUUCUUUUGCAUAACUGAGAUUUUGAUAUAAACAAAUCUUUUAAUCAAGAAAGUAACCAACAGAACAGCUGGCAACUAUUAAAUGUGUAUAAUACUGAUAAUAAAUUACAAACAAAUUUGUUUCCAUGUGCCCUGAUCAGGUCUAUCUCAACCUUUUGAGCACCGUCUUAGUCAUCAAAAAGGACUGGUUUAACCUGGCAGGCAGCUAAGCAUCUCACAGCAGUUCAGUCACUUCUUACUAUCAGUGGGAUGGAAGAAAGAAUUGGAGAAAGUAAAACUCAUAGGUAAAGAAAAAGACAGUUGAAUGGGAAAGAAUGUUGGGAUAAACAAGCAAGCAAGCAAACAAACAAUACAGAAAAUGAGUGAUGCACCACACAGUUGCUUACCACCUUCCACCAAAUGCUCAGCCAGCUCUUGAGUAACAAAAGCCUUCCCUGCCAGCUCUCCCAGUUUUAAUGCUCAACAUGAUGACAUAUGGUUUGGAAUAACUCUUUGGCCACUUUGAAUGGGCUGCCUUGGUUCUGUCCCCUCCCAGCUUCUUGUGCACCCCCAGCCUCUUCACUGCAACAUGAGAAGCAGACAAGUCCUUAACUUUUUCUAAGCACUGCUCAGCAACAACUGAAACAUCAGUGUGUUAUCAACAUUAUUCUCAUCCAAAAUCCAAAAUACAGCACUAUAUUUGUUAGUGUGAAGAAAAUUAACCCCCUCUAAGCCAAAAGUGGAUCAAAUUAUGCAAGUGAUAACUUUAUUCUUGUAAGAUGGGAUGCAUUUAUAAGCACUCAUUCUAAAAUUUUAAUCAAUUUAGUCAACACAAAAUAUUUAGAUUUCACAUCAGAUGAAAGUAAUAUUACACGCAAAACUGUAAAUAUGUUACAACUGUGAUGUUUAGUAGUUGUUUUAUGUAUUAGUUUUGUUUUAGUAUAAUUAUAUAUAAUUAUAUAUAUAAGUAUAUAUAUGUGCUUUGUUUUCUGUUCAGUACAAAACAAGAUGUCAUACUAAACUAUUCUUGUUAUGAAGAUUCAAGUGACAGUAACAUGUAAAUAACAUAUUUAUGUGUAAUAAUAGGUAAAAAUUCUAUUAAAACUAAUUUACUACU
ensembl:lncRNA